UCCGGCUUAUCACCGGCAGUCCCCUUAGAGUGCCCAACUAAAUGAUGGCAACUAAGGGCGAGGGUUGCGCUCGUUGCGGGACUUAACCCAACAUCUCACGACACGAGCUGACGACAGCCAUGCAGCACCUGUGCAAGCUCCCCUUGCGGGGUCGUCCCACUUUCAUGGUUCUACUACUUGCAUGUCAAGGCCAGGUAAGGUUCUUCGCGUUGCAUCGAAUUAAGCCACAUACUCCACCGCUUGUGCAGGCCCCCGUCAAUUCCUUUGAGUUUUAGCCUUGCGACCGUACUCCCCAGGCGGAAUGCUUAAUGCGUUAGCUGCGCCACCGACGGGCAAGCCCGCCAACGGCUGGCAUUCAUCGUUUACGGCGUGGACUAC
rnacentral:misc_RNA from 1 species